rnacentral:rRNA from 3 species
GGACUACCGGGGUUUCUAAUCCCGUUUGCUCCCCUGGCUUUCGCGCCUCAGCGUCAGAAAGGGUCCAGCAAGCCGCCUUCGCCACCGGAGUUCCUAUGGAUAUCAAUGCAUUUCACCGCUCCACCCAUAGUUCCGCUUGCCCCUACCCUCCUCGAGGCCCUCAGUCUCCGAGGCUCUUCUCCAGUUAGGCUGGAGGAUUUCACCCCGGACUUGAAGGCCCGCCUACGCGCCCUUUAAGCCCAGUGAUUCCGAACAACGUUCGCACGGUUCGUCUUACCGCGGCUGCUGGCAC